rnacentral:lncRNA from 1 species
UGUAUUUCCCAUUUCCAUUCUCAAUUUUAUUUUGCUGUCAUAUUAAACUUGAAAAGUGAGCUAACAAAAAAAAAAAUAUGCAAGAAAUGUCAUAAAACUGACUCUGAAUUAGGACAUGAAAUUGAUGUAGAACUAACAAACUGAAGAUGAUCAGGAAUAUGAGUGGUUUUUCGUUCGAGUCUGAUUUUUUUCACUUAACCCCUUCAUCGCUAUCAAUUAAAAUUAUUUAGUCAAAAUUUAACACUAGUAUUAAGGUUUAUCAUAACAAAUUGGCAAAUACAGUCGUAUUAUCACCCAAAAAUCUACUGUGUACAGACUUACCUGUGCGGAUUGGGAAGUUUUAAAUAUUUUUAGAUAUAUAAAAGUUAAAUUUAUUUUGCAUAUCUGAAAGAUAAAAUCAUUUUUGGUGAAGAUCUGGAUUCAAAAUAUUUUUUUUGUCCUCUGCUUGAACAGAUUUUUUUU